rnacentral:rRNA from 1 species
UACGUAGGGUGCAAGCGUUGUCCGGAAUUAUUGGGCGUAAAGAGCUCGUAGGCGGUUUGUCGCGUCUGCUGUGAAAACUCGGGGCUCAACCCCGAGCUUGCAGUGGGUACGGGCAGACUAGAGUGCGGUAGGGGAGACUGGAAUUCCUGGUGUAGCGGUGGAAUGCGCAGAUAUCAGGAGGAACACCGGUGGCGAAGGCGGGUCUCUGGGCCGUAACUGACGCUGAGGAGCGAAAGUGUGGGGAGCGAACAGG